rnacentral:lncRNA from 1 species
CAGAGUUACAAAAAACGGUAAGUUUAUCACAGUUUAUAUUGAUAACAUUCAAAUCCCAAUCUUAAUUAAAGUCAGGUUCACCUUCUGUAGUGUGAACUUUCUUCACCAAACAUGAUGCAUCCACUAUCCAAAGAUCAUUCCUGUAUGAUUUGCUAUUUCUAAAUUCGAUCACAAUGACACACACAAGUAUUAAUGAUCAAACUGACAGACUAUAAAUCCCUUUCAUUACUUCAAAAAGCUGCCUACACAGUCCAUUUGCUCACCUAAGUAUGAUCUAUGGUCCAACAGUGUAAGACUUAGCCACAUCCAUUAUCAUUAUUAGUAAAUGUAAUGCAGCUUAUAUUACAUCACAUAUGUUGGUAAAUACCUUUUUUCAUACCUAUAUUAAGUUCUAAUAUAUUAAAAUGUCUGUGAGUCUCCAUGAGCUAUUUUUAAAGAACAUCGAACUGAAUGCAUGCUAUCAUUUAGACUAACAUUGAAACUUUUUUCCAUGUUUAUAGUGGGCUUAUUAAAAGGGUUGUUCAUGACUUGAAUUGUUACAUUGUAUAAGUUCAGUUUCUUGAAUUUAAUUCUAGAAUUCUGUAAACAUAUUCUUCCUGUUGAUUAUUGUAACAGUAAAAUAUUAAUUUCCAACUUUUGACUUUUCUGGGUGCUACAAGAUAGGAACUCUAAAAUACUACUGUACAGAAUACUUAGAGUUUGGCUAUAUCUUAGUUACUUGAUUGUUAGCAAUUCAAGAUGACAUAUUGAUUUCUGUUGACUUGACACUUUUAAGGUGCUUUGUAAUAUUUUUCUUAGAUUAUUUUAGCAUAUUGAAUUUUUAAAGACUGCCAUAUAAGUUGGAAGUUUGGUGUAAUAAAACCUCAAUGUAUCAGGACUACUUUAGAGUUAAGUGCAAUGUGAAGUAACAAGCUCAAGUAGAUUAUUCAUCUGUUGUUUGCUGGAGAAAUUGUGACGAAAUGCAGGACAUAGGUAUGCUACAUAGAUGGCAUUUAUAGCUGGUAGAAGGGCUGUUUAAUCCAUAUGUUUUACAAUAUAUGGAUAGGUCACAUGUCAUUGACAGUUUUUUCAUGGUUUAACAUGACCCCAUAAAAAGCUGUAUUGGUUAUUUUAUAUUGUUUUAUGAUUAAAAGACAACUACAUUUGUUAAUAGAAUUUACCAUUGGGACAUAUAAAUAUUCAUAGUGAUGUUAAACAGACAAUACAAUGGCCAAAAGGGAAAAUGAUGAAAAGACAAACAAUUAACUUUCCACAAAACAAUACAUAUUUAUAACUGAGCAACAUGAAACACAACCAACUUGGGGAGGAUAUCAUGUGCUCAGGAAGUGUAAAAAGGAACUGCUCCACAUGAGGCACCAUUGAUGUUGCUGAGGGCAAGUUAACAUUUUAGAUAAGUCAAGAUCAACACUUAUAUUCAAGUCACAGAAGAGAUAUAGGAAAAUGUUGAAACAGUGUUGGCAAAACUAUGGCUGGAAAAAACACUUUUUCAAAUCAAAUUUGUGAAAAAGAUAAAUCACCACCUCCUCCUCCCCCACUCCUCCUUAAUGCUGUUUUGUUUAUCCUAGCAUAGGCAAGUUUUGAUACAUUAAAGUAAGAUGAAUGCAUUUUACAGUUUUGUUUACAGUUGCUUGUGGCCAUUUAAAGAGUCCUUGAUAUUUGAAGGUUAUGAUUAUUUUUUCAGUAGAGUGAUUAUAUUAACUAGAUAAUGGGCAUCUUAACAUUUUCAUUGAGAUUUUAGUGAGUAGGAUACAGCUGAAACAGAUUCUUGACAACGCCUGAAACAUAAAUUGUUCAAUUGAUAAUAUGAAAUAUGGUAGACAUUCAUUUAAAAAGAUGUAUAUGCCCAGUGGUAAACAAAAUUUUAUAAGAAAAUGACUGACAAUAUUCGUAGGAGGAUUGCAAUAAUGUUAAUUUAUGACUUCAUAGGUUAAUCUUACUUUAAAUUAACCUUUAGAAGCAUUCUAUACACAGAAUUCACCAGUUUUCUUAGAAACCCAUUAUUUCAAAAUUUUAUUAGUAUUUUUAUAACUAAAUACAUGUUAGCAAUUUGUUGGUUUAUAAAUCUCCAUGCCUUACUGACUUGAGUGUUAGUAGCUUUUCCUUAUAAGUUGUUUUCUGUUUUGUAUUGCCCUGGGGAUUCACAACAAUUUGACAUUCUUUGUAAUAUGUGUGCUUUUAUUUCUCUUAUUUAUCUCAAGUUUCUUUCAACCUUUGACAGAUCACUAAAACAGUGUGGGGUUUUUGAUCAUGGUUGAAGGCCAAACAUUCCACUUUAGUUGUUUACAUUAUUGUAAUGUUGGUCUUUUGUGGAUAUUUGUCUCAUUGGCAGCUAUACUACAUGUCCUUAUUAUUAUUUGCCAAUUGUUUAUAGUGAAAAUUAAACAUAAUUUUCAGUACUUUUAAAAUUGACAAAUUACAUGUAAUUAGACUAUGUGAUUUUGUAGGAAGAGAGUGCUAUUUUAUGAAGACAUAUUUAGAAAAAGCAGUUUUUUGUACAUUUUUUCUGUCAGCUUUGCCAAGAAGCUUAGUGGUUACCAGUCAUUACUGUUAUUUCCUGUCUAGCACAUCAAUUUCAUUAUAUAAAGAGAUGUCUACAUAUUUGGGAACAGUCUGAUGACUGACUUUAAUCGGUUGUAAAUGACUUGAUUGUAAUCAGUAUUGACAACACAUUGCCAUAUUUCAUAGGAUUUUGUUCCAUAAAUGGCAGCAGAAGUAGGCUUAACUCAAAGGUUAGCUUAACUCCUGGAUUCUCUGACAUUAUCAAAUGAUCAAGAAAAAUGUGAAAAAAGAUUUGUCGGUUGACAGCAGUAUAAGAUUUCCUUGUACUUUCAUAUUUAAGUACAUUUGAUUUCCUUGUACUUUCCUGUUUAAGUAAUUUCCAUGGAUUUUGACUAAAUUAUUUUGCAGCUUAUUAAUAAUUGAAAUGAGGGUAUUAUAGAAAUGUAGAUUUUAUGCUAAUAAUAUCCACUGUUGUGCACUUUUAGGAUUGAAAUUGAAUUCUUCAUCAACAAUGAAUGUGGGUGUCUUUGUAAUUUCCUCUAGUUUUAAAUAAGAAUUAUCUGUAUUUAAAGUUUAUUAUUAUAUUGUUUUUCAUUUAAAUAUGUUUAGAAUUUAUUAGCACAGUUCCUGUUUGUUGAGGUUAUUAUGUUAUUCUAUGUACUUUUAAAGUCUGUAAAAAGUAGGUAAAUCAGUUGUUUCUAAGAAAAUGCUGUUAAUAUUGAAGUUAAGUUAUUUACAAAUAUUUAAACUUCUUAGAUACAAAACAUUUUUUUCUAAAAUUAUAGUUGUCUGUCACCAUGAUUGUAAGGAAUUUACAUAUUGUCUGCAAAACACAUACCAAUCAGGAAACUGCAGUCUUUGACAAGAAAAACUUCUUAUUAUUUGUUUAACAGCUUGUUUCUUCCUUUUCUGCUGUAAUUAUCAUUUCUAAUGCAUGAACUUUAUUGGUGGCUAAUUUUACAACAGCAAGUCUACAUUUUGGUUUUGUAAGAAUGCAAGUCAAUUUUGUGACAUGUUUAUAGUAGAAAGACAUUAAAAUGAGUGUUUUUUUUUUAUUAUUUUUAGCUCACCUGGCCCAAAGGUCCAGUGAGCUUUUCUCAUCACUUGGCGUCUGUCGUCCGUCAUCGUCGUUAACGUUUACAAAAAUCUUCUCCUGAAGCUGAACUGGGCCAAAUUUAACCAAACUUGGCCACAAUCAUCAUUGGGGCAUGUAGAUUAAAAAAUGUGUUUGGUGACCCGGCCAACCAACCAAGAUGGCUGCCAUGGCUGAAAAUAGAACAUGAGGGUAAAAUGUAGAUUUUGGCUUAUAUCUAUUAAACCAAAGGGCCAGUGAGCUUUUCUCAUCACUUGGCGUCCGUCGUCCGUCAUCGUCGUUAACGUUUACAAAAAUCUUCUCCUCUGAAACUACUGGGCCGAAUUUAACCAAACUUAGCCAAAAUCAUCAUAAGGGCAUGUAGUUUAUGUAGGUGACCCGGCCAACCAACCAAGAUGGCCGCCAUGGCUAAAAAUAGAACAUAGGGGUAAAAUGUAGAUUUUGGCUUAUAUCUCUAAAACCAAAGCAUUUAGAGCAAAUCUGGGGUAAAAUUGUUUAUCAGGUCAAGAUCUAUCUGCCCUGAAAUUUUCAGAUGAAUCGGACAAGCGGUUGUUGGGUUGCUGCCCCAGAAUUGGUAAAAAUUAUCAGUUGACCCCUUAAGGAGUUAUUGCCCUUUAUAGUCAAUUUUUGUAAAUUUUUGUUAUCUUCUACAAAAAUCUUUUCCUCUGAAACUACUUAGACAAAUUUAACCAAACUUGUCCACAAUCAUCAUUAGGGUAUUUAGUUUAAAAAAUGUGUCCGAUAACCCUGCCUGCUAACCAAGAUGGCCAACAUAGCUACAAAUAGUACAUAGGGUAAAAUGCAGUUUUUGGCUAAAAUCUCAGAAACCAAAGCAAUAUUUAAAGCAAAUCUGACGAGGAUAAAUUUGUAAGUUUGGUUAAAGUUUAUCUGCCCUGAAAUUUUCAGACCAAUCAGGCAACCCGUUAUUGGGUUGCUGCCCCGCAAUUGGUAAUUGUCAGAAAAUUUUGCAGCUUUUGGUUAUUAUCUUGAAUAUUAUUAUAGAUAGAGAUAAACUGUAAACAGCAAUAAUGUACAGCAAAGUAAGACCUACAAAUAAGUCAACAUGAUCAAAAUGGUCAAUUAACCCCUUAAGGAGUUAUUGCCCUUUAUAGUCAUUUUUAACAAUUUUCAUAAAUUUUGUAAAUUUUGUAAAUUUUUAUUCGUUUAUGAUAUGCACAUAGACCAAGGUGAGUGACACAGUCUCUUUACUAAAGAGCCUCUAGUUUCUAUCCCUUGAGUUUUUAAAAAAAAAAAUGCUUUAUAAUCUUUGUCAUUAGACUCUGAAGGAUAGUUCACAAUCAUAUCACAUCUCAUUAUUUUUUUAUACUGAAAAUCCAUGUGAGCUAUUUCCAUUGCCUAAAUCAUUGUCCUCUGUCUGUCUUAGCAAAAAUGAGAAGUAUUCUCCCUAAUUAAAUGUCAAAUGGUACGAGUGCUCCCUGUGGUAUUCUGUAUAAAAAUUGCAUCCCAGCCUCCUAGGGAUAUGGUAUAUCAACAAACAUGGCUACUGUUGUUCAAAAUUAAAUGUCUGGGGUAAAAUUCAGUUUUGUUUUUGGCUUACAUCUUUUAAACUAAAGGAGUUAAAGCAAAACUGUCAAAGAAUAAUUUGAUGGUUAGGCCAAAUAAAAAUAUAUGUGUGGUUCCAGUAACCCUACCUUCCCUACUUUUUCGGCUUAAAAAUAGCCUACCCUUAAGAUUUUAUUGUCAUUUUUCAUUAAGCACUGUUAAAGUCAGAAUGUUGCUCCCAUAGACUCAAUGUAAAAAAAACAACAUAAAAUAAAAAAAAAUCCCUACCUACCUGGAACCACAAAUACUAUUUUAUUUGGCCUUAGCUUGUAUUGUGAAACCAUAUAUAUGACCUUCACAUACCUGUCAACCUGUGACGAUGAAAAUGCAGGUCAUGACCUGCAUUGAAGAAUCAAAUCUCAGGUCAUAACACGUACGAACUUUUUCGAGCUGAAUUUCAGUAUUUAUGGUACAUUUUCUUAUAAUGUAUAUCAAAGAUACCAAAACAUCAAUGCAUGUUCACUUUGUUAAGUCAUUUUAAAUCUUAUUCAAUAUUAUUUCAUUGCACUUUUAAAAUUUUUUAUUAAUUUGUGUAACUCAGUCUUAUGUGCUUUACUUUUUGAGAAAAAAUACUACAAUCAUCAAACACUAGAAUUUAAUGUAAUUCUUAAAUGUUUGAGACUAUUGACUUUGUAUAGCCUUUAACCAUAAUAUUUUUCAUUUAACAAGGAAAUUAGACUAUGAUAAAAUAUAGUAAUACAAAUGUACAGUUAAAGGAAGUAUAAAUGUAAAAAAUAAUUUUCAACUUUUUUUUAAAAAGUUGUAUAAAGGUAUAAAAAUAAUGAAAAGUUAUUUUUCAAAUGUAUUGAAUUUAUAUUUUUAUGAUUUAAUCUUUUUCACCCAUAAAACGUAAAUAUAAGGAAUAAUUUUGAAUGGUGACAAAUAAGGGGAAGUAACUCUAGUUCAGUUUGUAAACCAAUGGUGCAAUUUAUUUACGACCUAAAGCUAAGGUAAUUGGUGUUAAUUAACAGUGUGUUUGACAUGCACUUAAUGGGUCACUUAAUUUGACAGUUUACAUAGCUAGAUGAACUUCCUGUUCAUGGAAGAAUUACGAAUUUGCUGGUAUUUCAAAGGAAUAUUACUUAUGAAAUCAAUCUCAAGGCUAAGAAAUAUACGGGUGAAAUCGGGUCAUUUUCGGAAUUCCCGGGUUAUUUCAAUGACCCGGCGAGUGUUCCGGGUGAUCCCUCAGAAUUGUGAAAAUCUCAGGUCACACCCGCAGAAUACGGGUCAGUUGACAGGUAUGCCUUAACAAUGAGAUAAACCCGUAAUGUAUAGUUGGCUAUAAGUUAGUUUUAAAAGUAAUUUUAAUUCCUUUUGGUUCACUUGCACCAAGUUUCUGAAAAAGUCAUUACAGAAAAAAGGCCAUUAAAGUAGAUAUUGAAUUUAUAUAGCCUCAACUUAGUCAUGUCUUGCUCAGCAAGAAAUGAUGGAUGACUGGUAUAAUCUACAAUUUGCACUUUCCUAAAUGAUUGAUCUGGUCCUUGGAUGCAUAGUAUAGAUAACCUUUAAAUAACUAUUCAAUUUUAACUAACAAAAUAUUCUAGUGAGGCAGUGUUUUCUUGGCAAAAAAGACAAAAAGUUAAGAAGAUUAAUUUGUUCAUUAGAUGUAAGUAAUAAUCAUUACUCUUUCUUUUUAAAUUGGUGGAUGUGUGACAAAAAAGUAAUUGAAAUUUUCUUGUUUCCUUACAAUUAACUAAAUAAAUUGUCAGCUUUUUCCUCCUUUCUGUUAAUGAUUGUGUGAUAUCUGGGUACUGUUGUUAAUUAUAAGUUGUCAACUACAUGUCACAGAAAUCGCUUGAUUAGAACCUUCUUUUGGUCGUUGUUUCUGCUUCAUUUUAAUGUUUAAUACAUUUAGAUGUAAAUGUCAAAGUUUGAUGAAAUUUUCUUAAUUUGCGUUUCUUCUAUAAUGACCAAAUUUACAAUCUAUCCCUUCAACAAUUGUAAGAAAUGUUGAUGAUAUCUAUUUCUAUUCAGUUUGGGCCUUGCAUAUCUUGUUAACAUUUGACAAUUGAAUCAUAAAGACAUGCAUCCAUAAUAAUAUAUUAAUUAUAUUGGGUGAAAAUUAAAAUUGUAAAGAUUCAGGACUUUCAAAAACGGAUGAAAUUUAAAAAAAAAGAUUUGAAUGUUGGUUUUAUGUAAUUGAAGCAUGCUACUGAACAGAGGAAUCAAAGUAAUGAAGUACUGAACAUUGGAUGAAUUUGUCACAUAUCCUCUUUAGCUAGGGCCUUUAUAGUUUAUCUCACAGUAAGGUUCUAUCUUUAUUUUUGAAGACCUGUCAAUAUGUAGAUACAUACUUUCAUUUCAAUUUGAUUACAGUGGAAACUUGUGACAUUAACAAUGGUAUGACAUCUUUAUCAUUGUAAGGAUUUUUAAAAGUGGACACAGUUGAACUUUAUACAAGUUUUCUAUUAAUUGGCCAGAUUUUUUUUGUUCAUUUCUGUAAUGUGAAUUAAUAUAAGGAUUAAUCGAAUGGCACAAAUAGCCCAAAGUCAUUAAGAGGUCAAUAUACCAUCUUAUUGUAUAGAAAAAUAUCUAUACAUUAUAACAAACUAAAAAUUGCCUAAAGUCAAGAAAGCUGGAAAUGUAUGAUGAAAGAUUGUGAAUGAUCUGCCAUCAACACUCGGGGAACUUCCUUAAUUGAAAUAACAGCAAAUUGAAAGACAGCUAUUGACAGGGUUCUAAAUAGUCACAUAAAUAUUACAGAUGUUGUCAAACCAGACUUCAUAUGUCUAUAAUUAAACAAUAUUUUUAUCAUCUAUAUGUAACAGAAUAUACAUUUUUGGCAUGCUAAAUAUUUCAGAAAUUAUUUCAUGUUAAGCUUUUAGACAGUUUUUAGACGCUUCCAAAACAAUAAGUUAUUCUGACUUGCUUCUUGCAGGCAAUUCAGAUGUGUUAAGUCUGUUUUUAGAAAAUUCAAGUUUUGUUACUACUAUUGUUCCUUGCUGAAGUUAUUAUUUUUUUAAAAUAAUUUGCUUUUUUACAUGAUUUUUGUUUAUUUGUAAAAUAUUUCAGAUAGAGGUUGUUAGAUAUUCGUCUGUCCAAAUUGAAUUAUUUGCAUACUGGUUCUAAACCACUGUAUUAAGUAUAGUAUGAUAUUACAAAUUUAAAUGUCAAGAGAGAAGAAAUGUUGUAUCUCGUUAGAUACAGUGCUAAGAACUGCUUUAGUCUUUCCAUUUUGAGAUGAUAUGUAGGCAAAUUUUAACAUUUUAAUGAUCUGCAAGAGUAUCUUUAUUCUAUAAUGUGAUGGCAUCAUGCAUGGUUGCCUUAUUUCAUAAUGUGAAGUGGCUUUUAUGGCCAAGUGGUCUACCGGGUAAGUAGUUCAUACUCCGUUUCCUUACCUUGAAAAAUUUCAGCUAGAAGUGACUUUCAGUCAACUAGAAAUAACAAUUUUUAGACUUCUUUCAAAGAAAAGUAACUAGAAACCACAUGUCGUUUUAAUUGGCUUGCAUCAAACUAUCAUUUGAGACUGAAAGAAACCGUUUGUAAACCAGAAGUAGUGAAUAAUCUCUCUUUUUUCAGGUUAUAUUAUAUUGAAAUCAGAUUUUAUUUAAGUCAGUUGGAAAAAAGCUAUAUUAUGUGACUGGAAGUGACAUGUUCUAAAUCAAGUAGCAAGUGUAACCUCCAUUAUUUUAGUCAAUCGUACAUAGAAACCAUUUUUUGGGGAAUCAGUAGACAAAAAAACUAUGAAAUGACACUAGUUAAGUAACUUUGAGUAAUCCAGAAGUUACUGUAACUUCUUAUCAAUAAUUUUGAAAUUCAAUGAUUCUCUGAACAAUAGGUUUUAAUAUCUUUUUAUGUUUUGUUUUAAAGUAAAUUUGGAAUAUUAUUGCUUUAUACAAUCAUAAUUUGUUUUUCUAAAGGUUUUCAGACUAAUUGACAUUUCUUUUAUCCCAUUUCUGACAGUAUGAUGAAAAUGUAGUCUUAUAACAAAUUAAAUGACCGAGUUCUUUCAUUACUGAGACUCUGUGGGUUUGAAAUGGAAGAGUUUUAUUUUUAGUCUUUUGUUGAUAAAUUAGCUGUUACAGAACACUUCACUAGGACACUACUAAGGACUGGACGCAGAUGACAAAUGGCUUCAUAAUAGUCCAUAAUUAGCUGAUAUAUGAACAACUGUUUACCAUAAAUACAGAAAUGGCAUCCCAUGUACUUUUUAAAGAAUUUUAUUAUUUCUUAAAAUCUUUUUUUGAUGAGAUUUUGUUAUCUGUUGCCCCGAGUUUAUACAAAAUAUAGAUUUAAUUGAAGUUAUUAAUGGGAAUUAUAACAUAGAAAACAUUGGCACCUUGCUUAGUUCUGAUUUAGACUGAAUUAAAUUAUAAUUGUGUUUCAAUCUGUAGGUUGUUUUAACAUCCCAUGUUUAGAGGGUUUUAUGUAACUUCAAAAUGUAUAUGAAUCAAAGUAUUGCCAAAAUUGAAAAUUUGUCAUUUAUAGAAAAUAGCUCUAAAAAAUUGACAUGCUGAGCUUAAUUUUUGAAUUAACCAUUUUGAUUGAAGGAUAAGAGCAUACAAGAACUGUACGUGUGGCAAUUCUUCCAUGGGCUUUAAUGCCACUCUUUUUGUAUUUUACUAAUUUCCGGAUGGCUCGUUUUAUUGACAAAAGGAACCAGAGUAAAACAGUCAACCACCAUGCAACCAAUGAAAAUGUACAAAUACCUUUUCUAGACAACUUAGAACCUUAUCAACUAUUAAAAAUCAAAGAUAAAUUGGAAAACCAUAUCAACAAAAGCCAUCAAAAAGAUACAACAAAAACAAGAAAAAUAAGAAUUAAGUGUUUGAAAGGAAAGAAAUAUUAACUUUUGCUUAUUAAUUUAUGAAUAGAUUGAAAAUUUUAAUACUGCAAUUAAAUGAGUUACACAAGAUUUGUUUCUCAAAUUUCCAUGGUUUUUAUUAGUUUUUAAGAAACAAUAUGAGCCAAGGUUGUUUUAAUGUUAUUAGAAAACAAUGAUGUUGUAAUGAUAGGAUUGAUUGAAAUAAUUUAUGAAAUAACCAUUCUCUGCGGAAUCAUUUUGUGCAGACAUUAUCUGUUUUAACUUCUUGAGGAUUUAAAUUUUCUCAUUCAUUUAACAAGUUAAUGUCAUACUUUUCCAACAGAGAUUGUUUUCUUGCUAUUUCUGUAAAAGUUUUACUGAGUAGGUGUUGGAGUGUGUCGACUAGAGGCAGAUGGGUUUAAACUUUAUUAAUACAAUUAUGAUGUGACACAAAUCUUCCAAUUGUUAUUGUCUUAAGGUGUGCAUUGUUACACAACUGUCCCAGGUUAGGGCAGAUUUGAUUUCUCACUGUCAUGUUAUUAAGAUUUGAAACACUUCCAUCAAGAAAACCAAUAUGGUAGCCGGAUUUAUGACAAAUUAUAAAAGAAAAAAACAAAUACCACACAAACUGCAACCAACAACAACCACUGCAUGAAUUUAAAUAUCCUAGAGCUGGUGCAUAAUUAAGAAUGUGGCAUCGUUAAAUAUGUGUGUAAGCGCUUAAGCCUCCCAAUAUUCACCUUGGACACCUUGAACAGUGGUGUAACAACACAAUGUUAGUAUAUGUUUUGUGACAGAUUAUGAUGUUAUUGUGUCAUCUGCCAGUGAAGCUGUAUAGUGACACAUAGGGAUCAAUUCUUUUGUCUGCUAUCCUUUUCAUCCUAAUUCAGCAAUCCUUGAUAACGGCCUUUCAAAUUCAACCACAUACAGGACAUUGAAAUUGUGCAGCAACUUCUAUUCAUUUUUUUGGGAGAUGAUUGCUUUUAAGCAAUCUGUAGACUUAUACCAUUGACUAAGGGCCAUGCUAUCAUGUCAACCGUUUUAUUCUAAACAUCAAGGAACAUCUCAGAUUCUUGAGAUUGUUUUGCUUUAAAUGGUAUAAAAAACAAAAGGAUUGAAUUUAAACACCUGUCCUAUAAUUUUCUUCUAAUAAUCUUCAUGUUUCGAUAUUUCCCUUGACUUGUAUGCAUGAUUUUAACAACACGGAAAAUCAGAAUUAAGCAGUAUUUAUAUUUUGUGUUUUUAUAAAUUUAGAAACAAGUCAGAGAGAAUUCCCCAGUUUUGAUACCAUGCCAGAGUUCUCUGAAUUCCGAUCGAUAAAUCUAUUUCUGUCAUAUAAGAACUGAAGUGGAGUUUUCUUAUAUGUCACCGUUAUGAAACUAUAUUUGAUAUUGUACUUCCAUAAAGAAAUAGAGGUCGUUUAAUUAACAUUUAAUAUACGUCCUUGCUACAAAUCACAAGUCUAGGGUUUGUUUAGGUAAUUAUGCGCAUGCACAUAGUUUUCUUGACUUGAAGGGUUAUCAGAUUGAAUGGUUGCUCUUGAUUCCCCACUCCAUUGAUCAAUUUGAAACUCACCAGAUCCUUUCUAUGUCAGUCUGCUAUUGAGGGUUAUUGUUGUUGCAUAAUUUUAUAUGCAUCAUUUAAAUUAAAAUAAAUGUAGUCCACAACGUAAAGGUGAAACUAGAACACCCCUUCAGCCAAAAUGGAGUCUUCCAUAUUAUCGCUUUGAGUUGUCUCCCUUCCGUUAGUAACUUUUGCCAAACGACGAUACGUUGAGAAAAAAUAACCUGUUCUGUCGAUAGACAUCGUAUUAUAUUAAAACCGAUCGCAAUCUAAACAGAGGAAUGUGUACCGAAAGGAGUCAUGCCCACUGACCCAAAGGAAAUUAAAUACCCAUAGGCGGAUCCAGGGGGGCCCUGGGGGCCCGGGCCCCCCCUUUCGUGGGAAAAAUUUGGUUGAUUAUAUAGGGAAUCAUUGAAGCAUGACUGGAGCGGGCCCCCUUAGGUCAGUCAGCGGGCCCCCCCUUAGGAAAAGUUCUGGAUCCGCCACUGAUACCAGUAUUUAAAGAGUUAGGAAUGGGGUUCCACCUAGAAUUCAAGUAGGAAAAUAGGUGAAAAGGUACGAAAUGAAAUACCUUCUCUCACUCUCAGUGACUGCUGUGGAAAGUAGACUUGGAAUUGAUAGUACAAAAAUAAAACACAAUAAGUACAUUGUUCAUACACUUGUUUCAAGGAUUGGCUAUUUUUAAAGUUGAAUGACUAUUCUGAUUAUGUAAAUUACAUUUUACGAGCAUUUUACACGUGCAGUCGAAUUAUUUUUGAAAUUAAUACUAAUACAUGUAUCAAUGAAAACAAUGGCAAUCGUAUCCCUCAGAGAAAUCUGCUCUUUGAUUAUUUUAUAUGAGUGACUUUGUUUUGGUGAGGGUAUGAGACCCUUCUGUUUUUACAAGAUGCAAGUUAAAAAGUCGGGAAUAUGAUGGUUGUUUUUGAAAUAGUUCCAUUAAGGUGGUACCUAACACUACAGGGAGAUAACUCUGUAAAGUCAGCUAAACGUUUUAAUUACGUUGUGUAGUAAAAGGAAUCUUAAGCUUCUCAAUGAUCAAAAUUGGUGUUUGUCAAAUUGCUAUACAACCAGUGUAAUUUUUCUGACAAACAGUUGGUUCAAAAAUUUUUGAAUUUUUAUAUUUUAUUUAAAGUCUCAUGGUAAAUACUUUGACAAAAUUUUAUGAAAAUUAAACGAGCCAAAUUAAUUUUAUUGAAAGUGUUGGGUACCACCUUAAUUGUAUUUUUGAUAUAGUCAAGCAUUUGGUUUUAUCAGUUUUUAUGAACUUCCAAAUUUGAAAUAACCUUUACUUUUAAAGCUAGUUAUUCUUGUUAUUACAUUUUACUUUAAAGCUAGGUAUUCUUGUUAUUACAUUUUACUUUAAAGCUAGGUAUUCUUGUUAUUACAUUUUACUUUAAAGCUAGUUAUUCUUGUUAUUACAUUUUACUUUAAUGCUAGGUAUUCUUGUUAUUACAUUUUUUAUUGCCCUUCAUGUUUUCCUAUCAAAGGCUUCAUAAUACAACUUAUAUAAACCACAAAGAUCAACGUUUGAAAAGUCAAUGUGAUAUAAUAGGAAACCCCCAAAAUAUUUAAAUGAAUGUAACAGUACAAAAGAGUAGUAACGAAACCAUCAAACUCUGAAUUUCAUUGACUUAUUUAGAAAAACCUGAGACUUUCUUUAAUAAAAGUGUCAUUCUUAUUAUUAUUUCUUUCUGAUAAAAAAAGAAGUAGGAGUCAUAAUUAGAUUAUGUUAAAGGCCUUUCUCUCUUGGGGAAACCUGAUAAAAAAAGAUAGGAGAAUUAGUCAUGUAGGCAGUGAUGCUAUGAAGUACUUUAGAAUCUUUAAACGUUUGUCAGAUUAAAACUAUACACUGGGUUAGAGUCUCUAAAGGAACAAUAGGCACUCCCUGUUAUAUAUCCCAUGGCUUCACAACUGUGUUAUGAAUUGAUCCAGCUCUUAGCUGAAAAUUAUUUGUAUUUUCUUAAAAUGGGAGAAUUAUUGUUCAUAGAAAAGAUUUUUUUAGGUUAACGGUCAAGGAAUUUUACUAGAACUAUACUGGCUGAAUUUAAUUUCAUGUUGUACUGAGAAAAAGUAAAAAAAAAUUAAAAGUACACUUGAGGAUUGUUAUUUUAAAGUUAUUUCUAGUUUCUUAUGUCAGAAUGAUUUGACCUUUUGUAAACUUAACUGAUGUUAAAGCAGCAGGAGUUAGAAUUUUCUGAAUGCAGGCAGAUGUGGCUUGACAUUUUUUAUGUUAUGAUUUGAAAUCUUCUUAUGUCCUUAUAUAAACAUUAGAAGUGUUUUAAUCUUAGUGCUACAGGGUUAAGUUGUAUCCCUGUUUGGUUUGUCAGCAGUGGACAACAUCUAUUGUAUUAUUCAUUGAGUACAUAUUCAUUUACAAAACUUCAUCAAAGAUAUGAGAUGAAGAGAUUUUUAUUGGUCCCCUACUGACAAAGUGGAAUGGGACUUUAGGUUCGCACUCCGUCCAUCUAUCUGUCUGUCUGUUUGUCUGUCCAUUUGUCAGUGUCAGUCCGUCAAAUCAGUUUCCAGACUUUUCUUCUUCCUGCUUGAAGAUAUUUGGUUUAUUGUUUUAUCAUGACAAGUUACAGGUCAAGUUAACUUUCUUCUGUCAUUUACUCCUUUACAAUAAAUGAGGAAUCUCAAAAUUAAGAUAAAGGGAAAGAUCAAUACAAAUUAGAAAAAAACAAACCACACACCAUAUCAGAGAAACUAAACUCCAAAAAUGGAAAUCAAAAAGCAAUAAUUGUUGUCUCAGGAUUAUAACGUUUUAUAUUGGGAUGGUUAUCUGCAAUUUUGAUGUUUAACAUUGUAUUUAUUUCUGAUACUACCAUAUUUUAGAAUAUUUGUUGAAAUUAAAAAUAUAAAUAUGCCAGUCCUAUUUACUGAUUUGAAUCAAAUUCCAUAUCUGUGAAAAUGAAACUGUAUUUGGUUACACAGAAUAAAAGAAAUUGCAGGCUUUAAUAAAAUUUGAAGUGUUUUCUGGUGUUUAAUUGAUUGAUUUAAGGUUUUGUAAUUAGACUGUGAUUUAUUGUAUAGUAAUAUAUCAGUGUUAUGUUUGCCUCAUUAAGGUUUUACAAUCAUUUAAUUUGUCAUGAAAAAUAUGAGUUUUAUGAUUCAAUAAAUCACAGGGAUUGUUCUGUGGAACAUUGAAGUUUAAACAUUAUUAUGGAGACGCUUUUUACAGAUUGCUAUUCCGAUGGUGGAAACAUUUUCAUCAUCUAUCAUCUCUAUCUUAAAUGAGGUAUAAUCAUAGAACUAUAAAGGAGGAAUAUUUAUUGUGUGAAAUAAAGUGUAAAUGACUAUUAUGUUAUCCUGGUAAAUGACCAGGAAAAAAAAAUGAAGAAAAAAACAAACUUUUGAGAGUUAUCCCAUCGAAUUCUUUUGAUGACUCAAACUGAUCGAAUGGUAAUUUCAAAAUUUGAAAAUUGCUACCUCAGUAAUCCCUGCAUUGUCUAUUAUUUGAAGGAACUAACAAUGAAAAAAUGUCAUUGUCAAUUAUCUUCUGGUUAAUUAGAUUGAUUCUAUGCAGGAGUAAACGAGGUUACAACUCAAAAUAGUCAACUGACAUCUAGAAGUUAUAAAUGGCCCUCAAUGACCUUUUUAGCUCACCUGGCUGAAAGGCCAAGUGAGCUUUUCUCAUCACUUGGCGUCCGUCGUCCGUCGUCGUCCGUCGUCGUCCUGCGUUAACUUUUACAAAAAUCUUCUCCUCUGAAACUACUGGGCCAAAUUUAACCAAACUUGGCCACAAUCAUCAUUGGGGUAUCUAGUUUAAAAAAUAUGUCCGGUGCCCCGCCAAACCAACCAAAAUGGCCGCCAUUGCUAAAAAUAGAACAUAGGGGUAAAAUGCAGUUUUUGGCUUAUAACUCAAAAACCAAAGCAUUUAGAGCAAAUCUGACAUGGGGUAAAAUUGUUCAUCAGGUCAAGAUCUAUCUACCCUGAAAUUUUCAGAUGAAUCGGACAUUUCAUUUUUGGGUUGCUGCCCCUGAAAUGGUAAUUUUAAGGAAAUUUUGCUGUUUUUGGUUAUUAUCUUGAAUAUUAUUAUAGAUAGAGAUAAACUUGUAAACAGCAAUAAUGUUCAGCAAAGUAAGAUUCUACAAAUAAGUCAACAUGACCAAAAUGGUCAGUUGACCACUUUAGGAGUUAUUGCCCUUUAUAGUCAAUUUUUAACCAUUUUUCGUAAAUCUUAGUAAUCUUUUAGAAAAAUCUUCUCCUCUGAAACUACUGGGCCAAAUUCAACCAAACUUGGCCAUAAUCAUCAUUAGGGUAUCUAGUUUGAAAAUUGUGUCCGGUGACCCAGCCAACCAAUCAAGAUGGCCGCCAUGGCUAAAAAUAGAACAUAGGGGUAAAAUGCAGUUUUUGGCUUAUAACUCAAAAACCAAAGCAUUUAGAGCAAAUCUGACAGGAAGUAAAAUUGUUGAUCAGGUCACGAUCUAUCUGCCCUGGAAUUUUCAGAUGAAUCGUACAUUUCGUUGUUGGGUUGCUGCCCCUGAAAUGGUAAUUUUAAGGAAAUUUUGCUGUUUUUGGUUAUUAUCUUGAAUAUUAUUAUAGAUAGAGAUAAACAGUAAACAGCAAUAAUGUUCAGCAAAGUAAGAUUUACACAUAAGUCAACAUGACCAAAAUAGUCAGUUGACCACUUUAGGAGUUAUUGCCCUUUAUAGUCAAUUUUUAACCAUUUUUCGUAAAAUCUUAGUAAUCUUUUAGAAAAAUCUUCUCCUCUGAAACUACUGGGCCAAAUUUAACCAAACUUAGCCAUAAUCAUCGUUGGGGUAUCUAGUUAAAAAAAAAAAGUUUCGGUAACUCGGCCAACACCAAAUGGCCGCCAUGGCUAAAAAUAAACAUAGGGAGUAAAAUGCAGAUUUUGGCUUAUAACUCAAAAACCAAAGCAUUAAGAGCAAAUCUGACAGGAAGUAAAAUUGUUGAUCAGGUCACGAUCUAUCUGCCCUGGAAUUUUCAGAUGAAUCGGAUAAUCAGUUGUUAGGUUGCUGCCCCUGAAUUGGUAAUUUUGAGGAAAUUUUGCUGUUUUUUGUUUUAUCUUUGAAAUUAUUAAUAGAUAGAGAUAAACUGUAAACAGCAAUAAUGUACAGCAAAAGUAAAACUAAAAUAAGUCAGUAUGACCAAAAUAGUCAUUGACCCCCUAAGGAGUUAUUGCCCUUCAUAGUCAAUUUUUAAAUUUUCUUAAAAUUUGAAUUUUUCAAUUUUUAACAUUUUCCACUGAAAGUACUGGCCAAGUUAUAGAUAGAGAUAAUGUAUAGCGGCAAGAAUGUUAGUAAAGUAAGAUCUACAAAAUCACAUCAUCACCAUCACCAAAACACAAUUUGUCAUGAAUCCAUCUGUGUCCAUUGUUUAAUAUUCACAUAGACCAAGGUGAGCGACACAGGCUCUUUAGAGCCUCUAGUUAACUUAGCAAGAUAAGAUUUUUGAACAUGUCAAAUGGUUAAUAUUGGCAAUUCACCUCUUAGAGGAGUUAUUGCCCUUGAAAGAAGAUUUACAGAUAAGCAAACAUAAUUUAUUGCAAAAAAAUAAAAUAAAUAUCAAAAUGGCAUAUUUUUACGAGAUGAGUGAUUCAGGCUUUGGGAGUGUUUUGCUUGUCUUUUGAAAUGUUUGUUCAUCAUGGAUUAAGUAAAUAGUUCCAAUAUGACCUUUAGCAAACUCAGGUUUCUGUCAGUUUCUUAAUAUAUCCAUCACACAGAAGUUCACCUUCAAAGCCAUGGUGCUUGUGACAUGUGAAAGAUUUUAUCAUCCUUUUGAUACAAAUGGUGUUCAUAUUUAUUUUACCCUAAAUAUUAUAAUAAAAUAACAACUAAUGAGAAUUUUUGUUACUUCCUGAAUUAUUAUCCAUUAUUCAGACUUAAUUGCUGCAGAAUCAUCCAUUUAUCUUUGUUAAUGAUAGAAUAAAAACAUUGCACAAUGCAUCAUAGAAGAUGUGAAUGGAUUGGAAGAAAAAUGAUGUAAUUAUCAAUUAUUUUUUCCAUUUCCUGCAUUAUAAGAAGUUGUUAUGUAACUUUUGUUUUCACAUGUUCCCAUUCUGUCAGAAAUGAAAUAUAUAUCAUUUUAUGAAAGUUCAUAACUUGUAGAAAUCCUGGAUUUUCUUCCUUCAAAAUAUGCUCAAUAUUUAUAUGAAAUAAGGUUUAAAUAGAGUUUGCAUGUUUCCUUAAUAAAUGCUGUCUUGGCUAUGAAUGGUAUUGAAAUAAAAAUCAUAUGAACAGGUAAUUAAUUUCAAUUUCAACAGUUUAAUGAAUAAGGUGUUUGGUUGCCUUACCGGUAUAUCCUAUGAAAAAUAUUGCAUGUAUAGUCAGUAAGAUAAUUAUGAAUAAAAGAAAUGUUUGUAUAUGUUCAUAAGAUAUCAACCCAGCUACAAAUAAUUUCAAAAGACACUUAGAGGUCAAAAUACAGUCUUAGACAGUUAUAGACAGAAGUUAAUAAUACAAAGCCAGUCCUAAAUUGUUCCUACAUCAGACUAACAUCUUUGUGUUGCUUUUUUUUUUAGAGGAAAUUAGAUUUGAAAUGUUUUCACUGUGUCUGGUUCAGAGCCUAACUUUAUUCUGAUAACCUUGAUGUUUUGAGAUUUCUAUUCAUUAAGCAAUAUGUAUGCAGAACAAAUACAGUCAAUGGUCAUAACAUAGAAAAUCAUGUAUUAUUGGUAGUGUUUUAUUAUCUUUAUGGUAAUGUAUUAUUACAAGAUUACAUAAACUGAACUAAAUACAAUGUCAAUCAGCAAUAAUGCAGACCAAACUGAGGCUGAGGAAUGUAAGUGAAGGUCAUUCACAGCAGAGGACAUUCAUCUGUCAAACUAGUUCUGCUUAAAUGAUCAAUUCUAUUUUGAUUAUAACAUAAGAUUGGUUUUUAUGUAACAAUAUUGAUUGAUUGAUUGAUUGAUUUAAGGGUAGUUACUUCAGUCCUGAGAAGCUAAUUUGAAAUACUGCAUUGGAAGAAAGGAAUAUAAAUGCGUGGCCUGAUUUUACAUGCUUAGAUCAUUUGAAAUACCUUGCAUAAUGAGUGUACUAGUCUUAUAUAUACAAUGUGCUGAUUAGGUCAUAGGAAUAUAAUUUGCAUUGUGCUAGUUUUGUAUGAUACAUGUUAGAUAUUACUUACAUGUUAGUUUAUAUAUAUAAAGUCUCCACAGUAACAGUAUGUAAAAGAAUCACCAAUUCCUUACACAUUAUUAAGCCAUUACCAGUUACUCCUAUAUACUACAUGCAUACAUCAGAAGCAGCAAAUUUUUUUGAGAGCUUACAAGUUAGAUUUAGUGAAUUGAACCUAAAACCUUGUGUACUCAAAUUCAAUAUGUUGACACAGGACCAGAGUCACCAGACUAAGGUUUUCUUUUAUCAAAAAGGAAUAUCGAGUGCUUAUUUGGUACAAUUUGAUUAAAAAAAAAAUAAUGUUAUGAAAAAUAUGCCCCUUUAUAAAUACUCUUAUCUUCUAGUGGCAGUCAAAACUGCCUGACCUUAUCAUGGUCGCUUGUGACAAUGACCUUGCAUAACCUACCUUUUGUAUUCUAUAUUGUUUAUGUUUUAUCACCGUAAAUAUGCAUGAAAUAUUUGCCACUGGUUGUUUAAGCAAGCAACAAACAAUCAAUCAAUCUUAAUUUCCAAUAUGGUAAAAUUAUCCAUCUUAGAGCAGAAACAUCAAAACAGAAUCUGUGUAAUCAUUAAAGAAGAUCUUCUCAAGUUACUGUGGCACAGUCAGUUCAUUCAUUAAAGAUAAUUACAAAGGGGGAAAAAGCAGCCAGCUGAUGUACCAUUUAGCAAUUGAACUGUGCGACUUUAUUGAUACAAUUAUUGAUUGAAAAUAAAAUGAGACAUGGGAUUAAAUUUUUAUGCCCCACCUACGAUAGUAGAGGGGCAUUAUGUUUUCUGGUCUGUGGCUCCGUUCGUCCGUCUGUCCGUAUGUGGUUCCGUUCGUCCGUCCAGGGUUAAAGUUUUUUUUUGUUGUAAUUUCAUUAAAAAAAUCCUAAAUUUUCAUGUGUGAAAUUUUUUCUAGAUGGUCAGUGCUGUUUAAAAUAAAUAAUUAAAAAGAUAAUCAAGGAUUUAAAUAAUAUUGCUUUUGUAAACAAAUGAAUUAAGGAAGUUAGCUGCUCAGUUUCAAAAUAAAUAGCUUUUUAUAAAACUAGUAUAUAUUGAUAGGGGAUUAAUUAAGAAAUCAAAAAAGCAAAAAAUAUAUAGAUUAGGGGUCAAUGUGCUUGUUUUCGAGAUAUUAGCCAUUGAAACUUUAGCGGGAAAAUGUUCUCUCUUGAUUUUUAAUAGCUUUAUCAUUGAAGUUAAAGUUCUCAAAAACUAUUAAAAAAUAAAUAAGAUUUUAUUAGACUUUUACAAAUGGCUUAGAAUUUUACAUGCAAAAGAUUUAUAAAAGAAAAAUGGAGUCAAUGGGCAAACAUUUUUAAGGCAUUCAAAUGAAUAAAACCAGAGGAUUCCGAAAAUCUGACCAAAAGUCCAAAACAUGACAAGCAAACAUCCUUAAGCUAACAUUACCUCAGAUAUUUUGAAUAUCUUGAUAAACAUUAGAGUCACUAGUAGUGCUUAAAUAGUUGCAAGAAAUUUGGCUAAAUUUUGUCUUUUGCUGUGAAACUAUUUAUUUAUUAAUAUUUGUCGAUUUGGGUUUGGUUUUUUUUUUUGCGUCUAAGUGACAACCAUUUUAUGCUUUUUUAGGACAUAAGAAGACUUGGAAGAUUAUAAAUUUAGAUUGCCAGUCGAGUCAGAAAUCUCAAAUAAUUGCUUAAAGAUUAUUACUCUUUAACACAGAAUUAAUUUUUUAUGCUAUGAUGGUGUUCAAUUGUAUUGUUUCAUAUUUUUCAUGUGGUCUUUUAUAGCCAUCUAUAUGGUAUGGGUUUUUCUCAUUGUUAAAAGUCGUACGGUUGCCUAUGAUUGCUUACAUCCACUUUUUAUGAACUUUAGCAGAUAGUUGUGUCAUUACCAAUCAUGCAUACAACAUCUCCUUAUUUUUAUAUUUGUAACUCAAAGAACAGGGUUUUUUUUGUAUUGAUUCAUACUCUUACUGACUGAAAACAACAACAAAGUUUAUCUCGUUCUCAGUCUUAGGUCAGUAAUAGUCAUUCUCCAAUAAUGAAUACAUAGAGCCUUUAAUACACUUGGAGAAUCUGCAAUGAUUGCUAUAACAGGAAAAGAAAAUAAGUCCUAUAUUUUUAGUAAUCUAUUUCCUGGAGAUUUUAACGACUUGUCCUCCAAAGUCAUCAAUCUUUCAUUUAGAGGUAUGAAAUUAAGUGACGAGGGCAUUCUGAUAAUCAUACAGCUAUUUUUGUGAUUACGAGACUAGACACAGGAUAAGGCAAAGGAAAUAAAACAAUUUUCUCCAAACAAAUAUCAGGCAAUGUUCUUGCUUAUGGGUAUAGAACAUGAAGAAAAUUCUGUUUAGACGUUCAAAUUAAAUUGUCUGGGUCCUAAAAUCAGCAUUAUUUAAAUGAUUCUUUUGGAUUAUAGGUAUCUUAAUUAAUUUUGUGUCUUUAGUUUCUUGUAAAUCAAUCAACUUAAUCAUAUUAAGGUGCUUAGGGUUAUAUUACUCUACUUUACAAUUAUCAAUAACUUCAGGAAUUGAAGAAAAUUGGAUGAAGUUUUAAUGCAUGGUAUGAAAGAUAAAAUGCAACUGUCAAUUAAAAUACAUUUCUGAAAGGCAUGUGACACUGAGGAUGAUAUUUUAAAUACCGGAUAUAUUGUACUAGGAAAUUAUAUAGUUAUGAUUUUCCUAAUAGGAUACAGAGAAGGGAAUUUUGGAAAUUUGAAAAGUAGGUCAUUAGAACAAAGGUUAUUGGAACAAAUGGGUAUGCAACCGAGUUUUGUUUGUAUGAUUGACAUAGGCGGAUCCAGGAGGGGGGGGGCUGAGUUGCCUGGGCCCUCCCUAUUGUGGGAAAAAUUUGGUUGAUUAUAUAGGGAAUCAUUGAAGCAUGACUGGAGUGGGCCCCUACUUAGGUCAGUCAGCGCCCCCCCCUUAAGAAAAGUUCUGGAUCCGCCACUGAUUGAUAAAUGGAUGGAUUGAUUGGGAUUUAAUGUUAGAAAUGUUUGGCAAAUAUUACAAUUACACAGCAUGUCAAUACUUUGUUUUAACAUGCUAACUCAUACAAUUACAGUAGUCAGGAAGACUUACCACCAUACUAAGACAGAUAAAUCUGACAAUGGACCAACAAGUCUUUGCUAUUUUAAGUCCAUGGUUUGACUUGGCAGGGAUGAGCAAUUUGAAAAGAAUAUAUUGAAAAUAUUUGCAACAUUCAGACAAAAAAAAACAGUAUGCUUUCUUAAUGAAAUAAAACAUGAGUAUUCACAAAACAAAUAGUAUUGGAGCAAAAUUGAAAUUAAUUUGAUAUACAUUGUUAUGUGGAGGUCCUUGGAAGUCAGCAUAACAGAGCUGGCAGGCUGAGACUUUGUUUUUUUGUCUUUUUAAAUUUAUUUACUUUAAUUCUGAACAAAUGAUCAGUUUGACGAUCUUCAUGAGUUAUUAUUAAAUCAUUUCCCCUUUAUCAUUAUUUACUUAGUCUAAGCCAGAGACCUAAAACUUUGAUUACAUAUUGGUGAACUUGAUUGAGACAAUCAAAUGACAACAUCGUGAUCAAUCUUUGGUUGCAAGUUAAUCAGUUCUUUAUAUCAAUUCCAUCUUAAGUAAGGACAGAUCUGUAUGGCAAUUGGUCCAAUUUUGUAUGACUUUCAGUACAACCCAAUAUAAUAACCAUAUAACUCCAUCUUGAUCGCUUAUUUCAUAAAAUAUUUGUCAGCUUAGUUGUUAGUUCCAAUAAACAUUUAACAGAUGCUUUUCAAAAAUCUGAUAGCAGUGAGAAUCAAAAUUGCUAAAAUAGAAUUGAUUGAUUCAGGUGAUAUUAUUUGCCAUAGAUUUAUCAGAGUUGUACCUAUCAGCAGUUUUGAAUUCAGCAGCUGCCAAUUUAAUAUGCAGUUUUUGGCUUAUAACUCAAAAACCAAAGCAUUUAGAGCAAAUCUGACAGGUGAAAAUGUUAAUCAGUCAAUCUAUCUGCCCUGAAUUUUCAGAUGAAUCCAACCAAUUGUUGGGUUGCUGCCCCUGAAUUUGUAAUUUAAGAAAUUUUGCUAUUUUGAAUUAUACUUGAAUAUUAUUAUAGAUAGAGAUAAACUGUAAACAGCAAUAAUGUUCAGCAAAGUAAGAUUUACAAAGAAGUAAACAUGACCGAAAUGGCCAGUUGACCUCUUUAGGAGUUACUGCCCUUUAUAGUAAAUUUUUAACCAUUUUUCGUAAAUCUUUAGUAAUCUUUUACAAAAGUCUUCUCCUCUGAAACUACUGGGCCAAAUUAAUCCAAACUUGGCCACAGUCAUUAUUUGGGUAUCUAGUUUAAAAAAUGUUUCCGGUGACCCAGCCAACCAACCAGAUGGCCGAUGGCUAAAAUAGAACAUAGGGGUAAAACUUAGUUUUGGCUUAUAACUCAAAACCAAAGCAUUUAGAGCAAAUCUGACUCGUGUAAAAUUGUUUAUCAGGUCAUGAUCUAUCUGCCGGGAAAUUUUCAGAUGAAUCGGACAACCAGUUUUUGGGCUGCUGCCCCUGAAUUGGUAAUUUUAAGGAAAUUUUGCUGUUUUUGGUAUUUCUUGAAUAUGAUUAAGAUAAGAUAACUGUAACUGCAAUAAUGUUCAGCAAAGUAAGAUUUACAAAUAAGUCAACAUGACCAAAAUGGUCAAGUUCAUUAUAGAUAGAGAUAAUUGUAAGCAGCAAGAAUGUUCAGUAAAGUAAGAUGUACAAACACAUCCCCAUCACCAAAUCACAAUUUUGUCAUGAAUCCAUCUGCUUCCUUUGUUUAAUAUUCACAUAAACCAAGGUGAGCGACACAGGCUCUUUAGAGCCUCUAGUUUUGUGAAAAAUCAAAUAAUGACUAUUAACCAGCUCUAUAGUACUGUUGCCUUAACUAUAUUUAAAAUUUUGUUUUUAAGUGAGCUUUCAGACAUUUUUUUUAUUCUUGAUUCUAAUUAUUAGCUGGAAUAUGUUAUAUUGCCAUUACAUAUUUGAUUUUAUAUCAGUUGAUCAACUUGUAUUUUUUUAUCCUUUGACUAGUGGACAGUCUUAAUGUAUUUCUUACAAAAUGUUUUUCUUGACCAAAUCAAAGAUUUUCUUAUAAGUGGAGAAAACUAUGCAAUAUCAUAAUGUCAUCUGAACUUGAAGUACAAUUCCAAAGCUUUCAUAAGAGGAUACAAAAGACAGAAUUAAUUGAUUUGUCAUUUGAGGUUUCCCUGGGAAUUAUGGCUAUGACAAAAACAAGUCUAGAAAAAACAGGAUUAAAUAUCAGCUUGUAUAAUCAGGACAAAUAGCUCUAAUGGUUCACUUGCACUGUCCUCAUUAAAAAGAUUCUUGAGGUCAGAUCUCAAUUUCACUGUCUUGUACAGCAAGCUUAAGUAAUAAAAUGCCUUUUAGACCUCAGCUGGUGUUUGCUGUCAUUUAGGUAGUUAACAUGACAAUCUGUAAAAUAUAUAUAUGUUUUUAUCAUAGCCAUGCAUCUUUAAGUUUCAAAAUUACAACCCCUAAAUAUUUGUGGUUCAAAAGAAUAUCUAUCAAAAUCAUUUGAAGCUUGAAUAUUUUAAGACUUUUAAGUCCAUGUAUUAAUUACUGAUAUUCGUGAUAGAACUGUUGUGUUUAAUUCUGAGACAGAUUGAAGGUCCCAUCAGAUUGUUCCUAACAAGGUUAUAUCUAUAGCUGAUUCAUGAGUCUCUUAACUCCAACAGGAUUCAUAUUGUGUCCAUCAGAUCAUUGAAAUCAAAUUUGACCGCAGAUAUGUUGUUCUGUAAUGAUGUAUCAUUAAUGGAAUUCUCCACUGAAUGAACAUUUUUAUCGGAAAUAAUUGUGUUGGUUUAGCUCAGCUCCGUAGUUCUGUCUUUUCACCUAAAAACUCAGACAUUAAUCUAAAAGACAUUAGUUAAAUUCUGUACUCUAAAUUUGAUUACUUUUCUAAUUAUUAGUCCCUUUAGAUUUUAAAUUGUGACUUAUUUACCUAGUUCUGUACAGUCGAACAAGAAUUCCUUGAGGUUAUUCCCCUGCAGUGUUUACACAGCUUGAAAACACACUUUUAGAAAUACUCACUACUUGUGUCCAACCUUGGUAAAUUGUAGCAGAAAAGAACAAAAUUGAUUCAUAAGGCUUUUAAGAAGUAUAGCAAUUUUCAAAUAUUGUGAAUAAUACAAGACUAGCAAUUAAGGAUUAAGAAGUUCAUUCCUUGGUUAAACACAUCAUGGGAUGAUAUCUGUUUGGAGAUCAUAUAUAAACUCCCUUUUCAAGUGCUUUUUGUGUGUAUUUUUAUUUUUAUAUUUUGCUGUGCAUUUGCUGAUUUUGUGUCAUGGAUGGAUGGAUCCCCCGUAUUCCUUGUUUUGUUUUUCUGUUAUAAAGACUGUCUAUUGAAAUAUUGAUUGACAAUGGUAGAUUAGUAUAAAUUUCUAUUUUUUUUCUUUUUGGUUCUUUUUGACUUUAGGACUAGAAAUACCAUACAGAUAUGUUAGUGGAAUUUAUUAUGUCAAUAGUUAGAGUUUUAUAAAUGCUCAUUUUCUUAUAACAAAGACCUUUGUUCUGUUAUUGCUAACCAUAUGAUACUCUUCCACAGAGUCAUCUCCUAAUGGUCGAGGUAUUCAAACUUAUGUCAGGUCAAUUGUCCCUUUGAAUAAAUACAAUAGCUAUGGUUCUCUGUGUAAUUAAUUCAUGGGGACCUUAAAUUUCUAAUAAGAGAAAUACAGCUCUCAUUGAUUAAUUUUCUUGAAACAAAAAAAUAUCUUCUUAGGCCACACCAAUUUGAUUCCUUGUUCGACGGACCGCCCGCACCUAUUUUUUUCAAAACAGAAUUUUUUAUUUUUUUUAUAUUCCCGCUUCCCACAUCCGGAAAUGUAAUUAUGUCCAUUUCCCACACCGGUUUUUUUGUAAAUAUUAUAAAAAGAUAUCAACAUUUGUUUUUAAAAUCACAGUCUUAACCUGUAUAUAACGAUUUUAAACAUAAAAGCACCCCACCACACUUUGUAAAUAUCUGUGAGAAUAUUUGUUUCAGCAUGAAACCUAUUUAUCCAAAGCGGGAGUGCUCCGAUAUAAAUUUAAAGAACAAAAAAUUGGUUACUUUCCCCCUUACUUAUAUUCCCUAUCAAAAAAAUGUUCGUUGCGUUAGAAUAAAGUACAAAGAACUUCUGAAAGAUUUGCCUUCGACUGCAAUUAUAUUGUAUGCUGGCAAAACAUAACUAUCCAUAGCCGCUGCAUGUUUAUGCACCUAUCCUGAUUGAUUGAGGGGCCUGUCGUUCAGCAGUUAUCGUUUGUUGAUGUUGUUCAUUUGUAUUUUCCCGUUUAGAUAUACAUGAUAUAUAAAUUAGAUCGUUGGUUUUCCUGUUCGAAUUGUGUACGCUAAUAAUUUUGGGGUCCUUUGUAGCCUGCUGUUUGGUCUGUAUCAAAGCCCUUUGUGAAAGGCCGUAUUUUGACCUGUGUUUGUUAUUAUCAGGUUGAGAACAAUCCUCCCUCAGACAAGGGGUCAUUUUACUGAUGUAGAAAAAAAUAGAAAUACCAAGGAUUUGUUAGUUCUUCUAUACAAAACCUUUGAAAACUUAGAAUUUUGUACUCAAAAGAGGAGAGUUACAUCAUAUUUUAAACAACUUUUCUAAAAGAGGGUCCACUUAUUUUGAAUAAUAUUAAACUGUUAAAGUAAAUGUGUUAACAUGGUAAAGUCCAGGAAUAUUACAAAAUUCUUGGACAUUUUUGACCAUUUAAUACCAGAUAGAUAUAUAUGUUCUCUGAGAAAAUAUGAGCCUUUUGUACAAAAAAAUAUAAUAAACUUAUAUUGAUCCCUCAUAAAACAUGUAAAAGGGAUAUUUAUAUACAUUAAGGGUUGUCCAAAACUGAUUAUGACUUGAUGGAGAAUUGUCUCAUUGUCAGUCACACAUACAUAGACCAAUUUAAUUAUUUCUUGUGAACAGGGAAAAAAUACUUCAGAAAUUAAAGAAAUGUCAAAGUACAAGUAUAAAUCAAGCUUUAAUAUGUCAAAACCUACUAUUUUAAUGUUACAAAAAAAAUUAUAAUCGCUCGCCUUUUUACUUUUCAAGCUUCGCCUCAAAAAAUUUGCAAUUAAAUAUUUUUUUAUUAAAAUUUUCAAAUCGCUCGCUCGCCCAAUUUUGAGUCAAAAUCGUAGAACAAAAAUUAAAUUGGUGUGGCCUAGUAGAUAAAAAUAUAUGUAUCAACUCACAAAAUUGCAUGUGAUGCUGUAUGAUCCAACAUCAAUAAUAUAUUUUCACUGUGUUCAACAUACACACUGAUCUAACCAUUUUUGACAACACAAUUUUGUUAUACAUUUGUACAUCUGUAAAAUCAAUGACUUGUAAGAAAUUUAGUUGCCCAACAGGAAAAGUUUGACUUUGGGUUUUUCCUUUGUCCAGUUGACUCCAUAAAACUUGAUCAGAUGUAGGUAUUUUUAAAGAGAUGUUAGCAAGGGAUUAGAAAUCCUAAGUCAAAUAGAAAGAGACAGCAUUAUGGCUAGAUGAAAUUAGCACAUUUGCCAUUGUUUCUGGGCUAACUAUAAGAGAUUAAGGGAGUUCGCUUCUCAGUUUCAAAGUAAUUAACUUUUCAAAAAACUAGUUUAUAUAGAUAGGGGUUAUUAAAGGAAUCCAAAGAGCAAAAAAAUAUAUAGGUCGCCGUGCUUGUUUUCGAGAUAUAUGCCAUUGAAAUUUUGGCAGGAAAAUAUUCUCUCUUGACUUUUCAUAGUUUUAUCAUUGACAAGUUGAAGUUCUCAAAAUCUGUUAAAAAGUAAUUAAAAUUUUAUAAAACUUUUAUAGAUUGCUUAUCAUUAUACAUGUAAAAGAUUUAUAAAAAGAAAAAUGGGGGUCACCGGGGCCAAUUUUUUCCAGGCAUUCAUAUGGAUAAAACCAGAGGAUUCCGAAAUUUGUCUAAAAAUUCAAAACAUGACAAGCCAGCUUCCUUAAAUGCAUUACUAAAUCUGUGAAUGAUUGAGGCCACCGGGCUAUAGAGGACGCAUUACAAUAAGAGAUCCUUUCUUAGGUAAGUGAAAGUUCUGACCUGUUUUCUGUGUGUACUUCCAUUCCAACAUUGAUAAUCAGAAAGGACUUGUCAUAAAGGUCACAGUAACUUCUUAUUUGUUGAGAAGCACAAAUAUAAGUUUUUCUAUAACUGCAAAUAAUUGUAUAAAAUAAAACAUUUUCAUGUCAAGUUCCAUACAUCUUAAGUAUGCCAUUGAACAAUUAGAAUUAUUGUCUGUCAUUGUUGGAGGAAAAUGGAUUUGUUUUGUAAAGUAACUUCAUUAUUACAUUUCCUGUGUAAGACAAAAAGAUCGGAAGUGGUAUACGAUUCUUCCAUUAUCCAAACUUACUAGUUCGGAAAUUGAAUUGACCAAAACUCGCAACAGAAGUCCAUUAGUAAAACACCUCUGCUUUGAAAGGGUUUUAUCUUGUCAGUUUCACACAGAUUUUAUAUAAUUGGCUGAAGAUUAGUGUAUAAAUAUUUGUCAUUAAAUUUGCAUAGAAGUGGUCUAGUAGGCUAUGGCCUUUUCACUUGUUGUUAGUUCAUUGAUAACAUAUUGUAUUACUGGUUUCCAUUGAAAGAAUGCUAAGUGGAAAUGAUUCAAACUAGUUGACAAAGAAUUGGAAGCCACACCAAACUCCAAAACAUAAUGAACAAAAAUUAAAGAAUAUGCCAGACUAAUAAAGGCUAGAGGUUCCUGACUUGGGACAGGCGCAAAACUGUGGCCGGUAGUCAUACUAUUUUGUGAGAUCUAAAUCUUUUACUAAAAACAUUGUAGUGGUAUGACAAAAUACUGUGAAGUUUAACUUUCAGUAAUUCUUCAGAAAUAAUUAAAUGAUAAAUACUGAAAUAAACCAUUACUGUGGUUUCUUUUUUCUAUUCCAAGUCUUCAGGGUAAUUGGUAUUUCAUGUGUUACUAUAAUAACCUAGUAUCUUUUUUGGUUUCUCCCCAGAUCUUUUCCCUAUAGAACUAAUUUGUAUGUUAUGCUGACUAACUAAGAAGUUCCAUACUCUUUAUUAGCUCCGUCAGGAAGCAAUUUUUUUGUUGAAUCUUAUAUAUUUUUUUUAUCAAAGUUUUAUCUUAGCAAUAUGUUUGACAAAUUUAAUAAGCAAUGCUGAUCAUCUGUUUCUACAAGAGUUUUGUCCCUUGGAAAUAGAAAAAUUAUUUAGAAAAUUGCAUUGUUUAUGCAUUCAUGCCUACAUGUGUUUCCAAUUUUCAUGAAAAAGUUAAAUGGAUCAAAAUAAAUGUGGCAGUUAUUGCCCUGAAACAGAGAAAAAUUAUUGAAUAUUGGAAGCUGUUCUUUUAUUAUUUGGUAGCUUGUAGACAUUUCGUAGUUGCAAGAAACAUUAAAUUUUCUUUAUAUUAAAGGAAUAUUGUGUCUGUUAUUAUAUAGUCUUCAAGUAAGGCAAUGUUUAAUUUUGACAUAUAAUUUCUCUAUAAAUAAUUGAUAUCUCGAUAUUUUGAUACAUUGAUUAUCAUAUAAUAAUAUGAUUGUUUUUUUCAUAUUUCCAAAUCUUUCAAUAAUUUCCGCCGAAUGCUUUUUUCCCUUUGUUAUAAUAUCCAAAGUUGGAGAUUGUUUUUUCUGGUAUAUCAAAUUAAGCAAAUUUAUAUUUCAAAUUAGAAAAAAAUCUUCAAUAUAUUAUUUUCUAUGGCAGUUUCUGCCUCAAGAUAUAUCAGCUAUCAGAUUACAAUUUAUAUCAUUUUGCCUCAUUGCUUAUUUGAACUAGAAGCUAUAUUUGAUGAGUUUGUAUCAUUUUUGUGGUUUUAAGAGGAUAUAGGGAAAUAUUAGAUUCUAAAAAAAUGCCCUAUCUUCCGUCUCCAGAGAGAGACUAAUAAAUAAUGAUCCACUGCAAGUUGUUUCUGUAGGUAGACAGUUUGUAUAAAAGUACAUGGAAGUUCUAAAAAUGAAAUGCCCUAAACAGAAAUCUACAGCAGACUGUAAUGACGAUAAUCAGAACACUAAUUAGUCAGUCCCAAAGUAGAAUAUCUAAGAAGUUAUUUUGACAUGUUAAUGACCAAUAGAUAAAUCAAAUAGUCAGUUUUGGACUAGACUUUGGUACUUAAAUUUGUACUAUCUUAUAUACUUUUAUACUUAGGUUGGUUGAUGAUGACAGGCAGCAAUGUAAAACUGCUCAUCAAAACUAUAUUUGUCUGAUCUUGAUCAAUUAAUUUGAGUUUCUUGCAACUUCUGAUCUGCAGUUCGAUAAGUUUUGUUGCAGGAGUGUAGGACUAAUCAUUUAUUCUAAAAGUCCUUCAAAUCUCUUUGGAACAUGUUUUGUUUGUUUUUGCUGCAUUAAGAUACAAUGUUACAGCAUUGUUGCUUAUUAUGAAUACUUUCUGACAUUUUUUAAUGCUGCAUGCCAAAAAAAGACCUACUUAUUUUGUUUACUGAAAAAGUGAUUUAUUCCUCUAAUAAAACAAAAUUUUUAUUUUAUUUUCAUUAACUUUUAAAAGGGUAUAAGCAUUAUGUUUAUCAGGGAAUUUUAAAAGGGUAUAAGCAUUAUGUUUAUCAGGAACUUUUAAAAGGGUAUAAGCAUUAUGUUUAUCAGGGACUUUUAAAAGGGUAUAAGCAUUAUGUUUAUCAGGGAUAACUAUAUCUGAUGGAAUAAUGAUUUAAUAGUAUCAUGAGAUAUGAUAUGGGUAAGGAAUGAUAAAAUGGCUUAUAAAGAGAUGUUUCAUGAAAAUUCCAUUGUUGACUCUGAUUGGCAGAACAUAGAAACUUAGCUGCAUAAAGCUGGACAUAGAUGUUUUCAAAUGAUUUUUUUUUUUUUUUUUGAUUUCUUUUUUUUUUUUUUUUUUUUUUUUUUUUUUUUUUUUUUUUUUUUUAUAUUUUACAAUGGAAUUCUGGAUGCUUCAUACUUUGUAAUAGUUGCUUCAUGUUACGAAGUUUCAUUACAUGUCAAUGUCCUUGACCUCAUUUUCAUGGUUCAGUGACUACUUGAAAAAAAAGUUCAAAUUUUUUGUAAUGUUUAAUUCUCUCUUAUUAUAAGUAAUAGGAUAACUAUUACCUUGCAAGGUCCUCAUGUCUGUCAGACAGUUUUCACUUGACCUCAACCUAUAUUCAUGGAUCAGUGAACAAGGUUAAGUUUUGGUGGUCAAGUCCAUAUCUCAGAUACUAUAAGCAAUAAGGCUACUAUAUUCAGUGUAUUGAAGGACUGUAAGGUGUACAUGCCCAACUGGCAGGUGUCAUCUGACCUUGACCUCAUUUUCAUGGUUCAGUGGUUAUAUAGUUAAAUUUUUGUGUUUUGGUCUGUUUUUUCAUACUAUAUGCAAUAGGUCUACCAUAUUGUUGUAUGGAAUGAUUGUAAGGUGUACAUGUUAGCGGGCAGAUGUCAUGUGACCUUGACCUCAUUUUCAUGGUUCAGUGGUCCAAGUUAAGUUUUUGAGAUUUGGUAAUUUUAUCUUAUACUAUAUGCCAUAGGUCAACUAUAUUUGGUGUAUGGAAAUAUUUUAUGAUCUUUAUGUCAGUCGCGCAUGUUUUAUUUGACCGUGACCUCAUUUUAACAGUUCAUUGCACAGUGUUAAGUUUUUUGUGGUUUGGUCUAUUUUUCUUAAACUAUAAGUAAUGGGUCAACUAUAUAUGUUGUAUAGAAGCAUUGUUAGCUGUACAUGUCUGCCUGGCAUGGUUCAUCUGACCUUGACCUCAUUUUCAAGGUUCAUUGGUCUUUGUUUAGUUAUCUUGGUUAAUGUUAAGUUUAUGUGACAGUUGUAAUAAAGCUUAGCUUUACUUGGGACUAUCAACAUAAUAUCAAUGAUUAGUAUAGAAGGCGAGACAUUUCAGCGUGUGCACUUUUGUUAUUUCUAAAUAUAAUACAACAUCAAAUACUGCACAUGCUCUUUUAGCCAACAAUACACAAUUAGUAGAAUAUAAAACAAGACAAGAGUCAUAAAUGAACCUAUAUUUUUGUGUCUGUAGGCAUAAAAUAUUUAAUUGUGAUAAGCAAAUUGUUUCCUAUUUUAAUUAUAGCAGUUUUAUAGUGGGUGUUAAGCCUUUGCUGUACACACAUUUUUUUUAUUUGAAGCCUUUUUGCUUGAAUGAAAAAAAGUGAAACGAAUUUAUUUGAGCCAAUUAGAUCCAUGAGGAGUUCCACCUUCAUUUAAUAUUUAGAGAUACCAUACAACUGAUGAUGUUAAAAAGGACACUUUCACAGCAGUCUAUUCCUAGCUGGAAAUUAUUUCUUGUCAUGCAAGCUAGUGGUCAUUGACUUGGGUUAGAUAAUUAGAUUCACAGAGGUCACCAUCCUGUGUUUUAUAAUUAACUUCCUUCAUUCUGUAAAGAGCACAUGUCUACUUUCACUUUAACUGAUAUUAAUUUGUUGUUUUGUAAUUAUAUCUUAACAUGCAAACUGAGCAUUGUAUAUUAAAAUGAUUUUAUAUACAUUCAUUUGGAGUUUGGUGUUUAGGAAAUGGUAGAUGUAAAUGAUGUGAUUAGGAAAUAGUAUAAGAAUAGACAACUUUUGAGUUAGAUGCAUUUCCGUCAAAAACUCGGGUUUUAGUGAACGUCAGUUGUGCGUUUAGGGGUAUCGUCACUUCCAUUCCAAUGUUGAGCAAGUGGUUGGAUUACUAUAAUUCUAUAUUGUACGAAUUAUUGGGCAAAUUGAAUUCUCAAAAUUGACAAUCAACACUGCAGUCAUUAGGGAAUUGCCAUUAAGUACCUACAGAACAAUCAUUAUUUCUAGUUUAUUCUGCACAAUGACGAUCACUAAGACGCUUGAUGAAUGUUAAUAGUGCAGGGAUACAGGCGACCCCUCUAUCUGGUAAAUGACGUCAUAAAGGCGAGUAUAAUUGACGAUUUUUUUUCUGGUGACGGAUGAACUCGAAAGUGGUCUAUUAAACAAUAUCUUAAUUUUUUAAUGGCUCUUUUAAUAUAAUGGUCUUCCUGACUUAUUAUCUGUAUUUUCUUAAUAAGGAUUCUUAGUAAAUUGGCACAUGUAUUUCUAUAAUAACAAAAAGACUUUUUAACAGAAAUCUGACAAAAAAAAUUUCAGAAAGAAAACUAUCCACUUUGUACUAGAGGAAAGAUUUUAUUUUAUGCUGAAUUUGAAACAAUAGGCCAAGGUUUUUUCAGUUUUGGUAAAGGACCUGUUAAUUAGGAUGAAAAAUUGAUAAAUUAGGCAAACAUUUCUGUAAAAAAACCCAGAUAUUUCCUUAUCAUUCACGAAAUAUUUUAAACAGAAUGAAUGUAACACACAUGCUUCUUGGAGAGCUUUGGGCUUUUGUAAUCUUGAUAAUACAAAAUGUAUAAUAUAUUCAUCAUAGUUUAAAUUUGAAAUAAUGCAGAAUUCAAAAUGUUUUUUUAAGGAAAGAAAUCUACAUAUAGAAGUUAAGAAAUUGUGUUUGUCCAACAUCUGGGACAGAAUUGAAAUGGUUUGCUAUUAGCACCCUGAAAUGUACAUCUUGUGACUAAAAUAGACUUCUUGAUGAACAUAAAAAAGUGUGCAAAGCAUGCAUGCUGAUGACAUUGGAAAUGAAAAGUCAUGUGAUCUUGAAAUGGACAAGCCAACCAAUAGUAUUUCUUUUUUGAAGAAUCAGGUGAUCAUGAAAUGAACAGCCAACCAAUAAUAUUUCUUUUAUGAUUUGAUUGACAGAUGCCAGUGCAAAAUUGGGCUAAAAGCAGGAAGCUGAAAUUGAUAGUUCAGAAUAGCAGAAGACAGUCAAGAACAGAAGAAAAUAUGUCCAAGAAGAUGAUUAAAAAGUAAGUUUUCAAUGAAAAGAGUAAGAUAAAACUCAUUGUCAUGUUUAUGAAAAAGAAGAAUUAAUUGAUAUAGUCCCC